UGCGCCUCAAUGUACAAAUCUUGAAAACCUCAGCCGCCCUCACCCCCGUUCCAUGCCUCAUUUUAAGCAAUAAUAUUAAUUUCAUAACCUAGCCAAUCUCAGGAUUGAACGUAAUGAAUACACAUUCUUAGAAUGGUAUGCACACAGAAGUACCAUAAAUAAUGAAGAAGAUGCUCCACAAAAUUAUUUUGCUUUUUUGGAUUUUCUGCAUCGCGGGGAUGAUUAAAUCGAAGGAGGGUGAGCGACCCAUACAUAUCUCUAAACGUCCGAGGUGUAUCUGAUGAUUUUUCGGGCACCGUCAGGAUUGUAAAGUGAGGUUCCUACGUGUGAUGUACUUAGAGUGACCUAUUUGUGCACUUGUUGGUUUUUAUUAGUAUUUGAGGGAAGUGAACACUAGCCAAGGUGCUUGCUAAUUGUAAUGGAGAUGACAAGAUUUUUAAAUAUAUAAUUAAUUGUUUAUCUUCACUCCAAUGGCUAACAUUUCCAGAUUAAAUUUCAUUUUUAGUGUUUAUCACGAUA